GCCUCCGUGGUGUAGUGGUCGGCACGCUCGACGCGUAUUCGAGAGGUCCGGUGGUUCGAAUCCCGGCGAGGGCA
rfam:Stegodyphus mimosarum contig71737, whole genome shotgun sequence.